UACGAAGGGGGCUAGCGUUGCACGGAAUCACUGGGCGUAAAGCGCACGUAGGCGGACUCUUAAGUCGGUGGUGAAAUCCUGGAGCUCAACUCCAGAACUGCCUUUGAUACUGAGGAUCUUGAGUACGGGAGAGGUGAGUGGAACUGCGAGUGUAGAGGUGAAAUUCGUAGAUAUUCGCAAGAACACCAGUGGCGAAGGCGGCUCACUGGUCCGGUACUGACGCUGAGGUGCGAAAGCGUGGGGAGCAAACAGG
rnacentral:rRNA from 1 species